rnacentral:rRNA from 1 species
GACGAACGCUGGCGGCGUGCCUAACACAUGCAAGUCGAGCGGAGACAUUAGCAAUAGUGUCUUAGCGGCGGACGGGUGAGUAACGCGUGGGCAACCUGCCUUUCACAGGGGGAUAACACUGGGAAACUAGUGCUAAUACCGCAUAACGUACUGUUAUGGCAUCAUGAUGGUACCAAAGGAGCAAUCCGGUGGAAGAUGGGCCCGCGUCCGAUUAGCUAGUUGGGGGGGUAGAAGCCCACCAAGGCGACGAUCGGUAGCCGAACUGAGAGGUUGAUCGGCCACAUUGGGACUGAGAUACGGCCCAGACUCCUACGGGAGGCAGCAGUGGGGAAUAUUGCGCAAUGGGGGGAACCCUGACGCAGCAACGCCGCGUGAAGGAUGAAGGUUUUCGGAUUGUAAACUUCUUUGAUGAGGGACGAAGUAAGUGACGGUACCUCAAAAACAAGCCACGGCUAACUACGUGCCAGCAGCCGCGGUAAUACGUAGGUGGCGAGCGUUGUCCGGAAUUACUGGGUGUAAAGGGCGUGUAGGCGGGUGCUCAAGUCAGAUGUGAAAUACCACGGCUUAACUGUGGGGCUGCAUCUGAAACUGAGUAUCUUGAGUGUCGGAGAGGAAAGCGGAAUUCCCAGUGUAGCGGUGAAAUGCGUAGAUAUUGGGAGGAACACCAGUGGCGAAGGCGGCUUUCUGGACGAUAACUGACGCUGAGGCGCGAAAGCGUGGGGAGCAAACAGGAUUAGAUACCCUGGUAGUCCACGCCGUAAACGAUGGAUACUAGGUGUAGGGGGUAUCGACCCCCUCUGUGCCGGAGUUAACACAAUAAGUAUCCCACCUGGGGAGUACGGCCGCAAGGUUGAAACUCAAAGGAAUUGACGGGGGCCCGCACAAGCAGUGGAGUAUGUGGUUUAAUUCGAAGCAACGCGAAGAACCUUACCAGGGCUUGACAUCCCUUGACGCAUGUAGAGAUACAUGUUCUCUUCGGAGCAAGGAGACAGGUGGUGCAUGGUUGUCGUCAGCUCGUGUCGUGAGAUGUUGGGUUAAGUCCCGCAACGAGCGCAACCCCUGUUGUUAGUUGCCAGCAAGUAAAGUUGGGCACUCUAGCAAGACUGCCGGUGACAAAUCGGAGGAAGGUGGGGACGACGUCAAAUCAUCAUGCCCCUUAUGUCCUGGGCUACACACGUACUACAAUGGCUAUGAACAGAGGGAAGCUAAGCUGUAAAGCGGAGCAAAUCCCCAAAAAUAGCCCCAGUUCAGAUUGUGGGCUGCAACCCGCCCACAUGAAGUCGGAAUUGCUAGUAAUGGCAGGUCAGCAUACUGCCGUGAAUACGUUCCCGGGCCU